rnacentral:lncRNA from 1 species
AAGAUUAAAGGAACAGCUUAUUGAUAUUGUAUAUGCUCUUGUUUGGAUGUGUGACGGGGAAGACAGCAUUUAACUGCUGGUAUGCAAUGCUGAACCUGGACUGCAUGAAGAGGUUUUCGUUCACUGAUGUUGGAUGUGUGCCCAGACUGCCAUAGUAGAAUUUAGGGAAAACACAGAAAGGAGGAGAGACACAGAAUGGUUUUUGGGAACAUCCAUGUGGGGCAGAAGAAUAAAUACAUGUGAAGACCAUGUUUCCAGAAAUGAAAUGACUGGCCACUGGGCAACAGUUAUGAGUCCCCCAAAUCCCUUCCUGGUCCUCUCCAUUUGCACUUGAAGAUGGAGUCUCUCUCUGUCACCCAGGUUGGAGUCCAGUGGUUCAAUCUCGGCUCACUGCAAGCUCUGCCUCCCAGGUUUACGCCAUUCUCCUGCCACAGCCUCCCGAAUAGCUGGGACUACAGGUGCAUGACACAAGGCCUGACUAAUUUUUUGUAAUUUUAGUAGAGAUGGGGUUUCACUGUGUUAGCCAGGAUGGUCUGGAUCUCCCAACCUCGUGAUCCGCCCGCCUCAGCCUCCCAAAGUGCUGGGAUUACAGGUGUGAGCCUGGCCAACAAUCUUUUUAAAGUACAUAUGAAAUCUAGCUAAAGGAAGAAUUAGGAAACAGGAAGAUGGAUCUCUAAAAAUUACCCCUAUAAUGUAGCACAGAAUGAUAAAGAAAAGGAUAACAUGUAAGAGAACUAUUUCAAAGGAAUCCAGAAGAAGAGAACAGAGAAAAUGGAGAAUACACAAUUAAAAUGGUAAUUGAGAAAUUGUUCCAAAACUGAUAUGAACAUGAAUCAUCAGAUUCAAAUAGUAAAAGUAGCCUCAACAUGAUAAGUACAAUUGAAUCCACACCUAGACAUAUCAUAAUGAAACUUCAGAACACCAACAUAAAAAACAAGUUUCUUUAAAGCGCCAGAAAGAAGGAAAAAUCAUUUGAAAGAAUAAUAUUAUACUGACUGCAGACAGCAGAAUUAUCGUAGCAACAAUAAAAGUCAAGAGAGUGGAAUAGUACCUUCAGUAAGUUGAAGCCACAUAGCUGUCAACUAGAAUUAUAUGUUGUUGUAAUCACCCCACAGCAAUGAAUGGGCUCCCCACGUGAAACUUUGUUCAGAUAUCAUGACUGAUGGUACCAUACACACAUACCAAGAGAGUAUGAACAUUUUUAUUAAUCAUGGAUUGAAGAUUCCUGGGGAGAACAGAUUCCCAAGCAGGUCUGAAAAUGGUUGGGAGAGCAGAGAAUGGAGACUGUCUUGGGUUUAUGAUGGUUAGGUAGUUAGAGGUGAAAGUGAAGUUUCCCUUCAUGAUCCAGGGCUUGCAUGGUUUAAUCUUUCUGACACCAACAAAGGAGGGUACCUAAGAAACCAGGUAAAGGUAUAUUGCAUUCCUUCCAAAGUGAAGGCAAAUUGAAAUUUGAGAGACUAUUGAAAUAGGCUCAGAACAGAUGUAGACAAAUAUGUGACUGAAAAGUACAUACCAGUUGCUGAUUGUUUGGUGUUUAUCUUCUCAUGGAGAAAGGAAGGCUGUGUGCAUACAAGUGACAUCUGCUGCUUGUUUCAAGUCCUAGAAUUGUAUGACUACCUUAGCUUCAUGUGGGCCUAGUGCCUCAUUCUGUUGGUCCUGUUCUUUGAUUAUACAGGCUGUUCACCUCAGGUACAGGUACACAUCUAUUGCUCUAUUGCUUCCUCCAAAGCAAAAUGCCCUUGAUAUUAAGUUCACAGAGCCUGAGGCUUUUGUCCAGAUUUUACUGAUUUCUCCAAUUUCUGCCUAGUAGUAAAGUCUUUGCCCUUAGACUAAGCCAGCUUUGUCCACUAGAGAUAUGAUAUGAGCCAUAUGCGUCAUUUAAAAUUUUCUAGUAGCUACAUUUAAAAAUAAAUUAACAGAGCUAGGUGAAACUAAUAAUACAGUGUAUUUACUCCAACACAUCCAAAAUAAUAUGAAAUGUUAUUAAGAUAUUUUGCAUUCAUAUUUUCUAAGUCUUCAAAAUUUAGAAUGUACUUUAUUUACACUUACAGAAUAUCUCAGUUAAGCGUUCAUUAAAAGUGCUUGAUCUGUGUUUAGAUUUUAUAAAAUUUACAGUUGAAAAAUUAGAUGCACAUACCUAAGUUAUUUCAAAUGUACAAAAACAGUUUCCAAAAGCUGAAUUGAGGGUCAAUUUUAAAAUUUAAAUUUAAAGUAAUUUAAGUUAAAUUAAAAAGUUAGUUUCUCAGUCUCCCUAGCCACAUUUUAAGUGCUUGGUAGCUACAAGUGGGCUAGCAGCUACUGCACUGGGCAGCACAGACUAUCGUGAAAUGCAGGCCCUCAUCUCAAAGCCUCCUUUCUGCUUGCAUGUUACAUCUUGAAUUAGAAAGAUGGGACUGCACCUCACUUCCUGAAAAUAACACUCAUAUACCUUAAACUGACAUUCAAAACUCUUAGUAACAUCUUGAAGGCAUUGAAACAGCCAAGGAUCUACAACUUCCUAAUUAAACUAGCUAAAAUUAAUUUUUCCUUAUUUUGUUAUCCCAAAGAACUUCUUCUUACCUCUGUUUUAGGCUUUAUUCCAAUAGGCUCAUAGUAUUUUUUACUGUAUCCUUGGUGAAUCGCCAUGUCAUAAUCCUAAAGAACAUGAUUCCUAAGUUUAGAAAAAUCUAGGUUUGAUCCCCCGAAUGCCCAUCUAUUGGCUUGGGCAGUUAUGUCUUCUGAGCCUAACAUUCCUUAUUUACAAAGUGGGAAUAAUACUUACUUAAUAAUAUGAUGUAGUGAGGAUUAUAAGUGAUACAGCCUAUAAAGUGCUUUACUUUGUGUCAGAGUUUGUCACCAAAAAAAUUACAAAAAUAAUGUUAGCAAAUAUUUAUUGAUCUGUUUCUCACUAAAAUUUAAGUCUUUAAAGGUGAGGGUCAUUGAUCUGCUUGCUAAAGGGACAUCACCUAGCACUGUGCUGUGCAUAUGGCCGUAUAUACAGCUCAGUCAAUGGUUGAGUUUAAAUUCAAACUGACUGCUACCACUGACUGGAUUCAGACUUCACCCUGCUUCGCAUGCCCUCCUUAUCUCCAUUUGUAUAUCUCUUCCAGUUGCUUUGCCUCUUUGUCUUCUUGGUCUCAAUAGUCACUAAAGUUUCAAGCAACAGGUGAGAAAAAUAAAAUUAAAAAGCCCUUUUUCAUAAGGCAAAACAGUCAUGGAAUAUAAAGGAAAUUUAAUUUUAGAACUGCAUUAGAAUAAAGUUGGUUAGGUAUAAACCCUUAACUCCUAGAAACGUAUUCAGAGCAACAGGCAUCUCCGCCAGCUCCCUGGGACCGGGCUACAGUGGAGUUGUGUCAUAGUGCAAAAGUAGUGAACUGCUGAUAAAAAGCAUUAACCUCCAUCAGAGUGGCUGCCAUUAACUGAUGAAAUCAAUUAAGCCAGCAGCACUACCUGCUGAAAACUGAUCUAGCAGAGGAACGGAUGGCAGGGUAGAACAGAUGAAAUGAAAAAAUAGUGGGCUGGGUUUUCUUCUUGCUCUGUUUUUAGAAAUGUUAAGUUCCGUCAGUGUGUUUUUUUGCACUGCUUUGAAGAACUCUUUCCCCGGCGACUCCCCCCCUGCUUGGCCUCAUUCCUUAAACUCACUAAGUUAUUACAGUUAAUACCGUGGUUAAUGGUUUCUGGAAAGACGAUAUCUAUCAGCAUCUGAGUGUACACAUUUUGGCCUAAAUACUGAGAAAUCGUAGGUAUGUAAUACAAAGCCUGGGUGUGCCUGCCUGUAGAAAGUAGCUCAUUAGGAUUAAUCUUUUAUGGAGUGACUAAUGCAAAGGGAACGAGGCCUUUUCCUCCCCAACUCGGCAGAGGUUUUGUCCAAACUUUCAAACAGGUUUCUUUGGAAUACAGCUGGUCACUACUGAAGACUUUGCUCAAACAUAUGGAACUUUAAAACCUUGAUUUUUUUUUUAACUUUUGUAUACUGUAGCAAUUCCCUGAAAAUCAAAUGGCAGAACCUAAACGGAAGACUCACUGCCAAAACGCAUGCCCAGUUGGGGAAAAGUGUGUGGGGAAUCAUCCAGCACACUUCGAGAGCUUCGAGUACAGCCUGGUAGAACUCUGUAUUACCUUCUGUUCUGAUUCCUGAGCUCUGCCAGACUUUUGUUUGAAAAAGCAUCUUUAUGCAGCAGUACAUUUGUUACGUUGUAUCUGAGAAUACUUUCCACCUUGGCUCCUGCUUUUAACGAGUAAAAUGACUUCUUCUCUUGCUACAAAGACCAAAAGGACACAAGGUACAAGGCAGAGCUUCUCAGCAGAGAUAUAUGUUUUUUUCUGCCAAAAUUAGUAUAAGACAAUAAGUUGUCUGUAAAGGUCCGGUAGUCAGAUAAAGGAGUCAAGUUCCUUUUCAGGGUAAUGUAAUUGUUAGUCCUCAUAAAAAAAAGUGUUGUGUGGUGGGGGGAGUUGCGGCUUUAUCAAUAAAAGCAUACAGAGCUGAAUAUCUACAUAAAGAAAUGUUCAGUAUAAUUUAUGGCAUUUCAUCAUGUCGAACUGCAUUUCAAGUAAUUCACCCUGGCAGUUUUAUUCUCAAAAUGGAAAUCUUAGUAUUUUCCUUGCCUUCAUCAAAUAAAGAGUUCGUGUUCAACUGUAGUCCGUAUACUUGAUAAUUUGUCUGGCUGGGUAAGGUUAUUAGCAAUUUAAGAAGUAAACCCAUUUGGAUUUUCAGAGUUAACAGAAAUAGGAGAUUGCUAUGAUGAUCUCUUAAAAAUUACAAUGUAACACACAAAAGUGAGAUUUAAGUAACAAGAUUUUCCAUACACCAAUAACACCAGGGAAAUUCAAACUCAAACUCCCUCGUUUAAUUUCCAGGGAUUAAGGGGUUGGUAUUGAAGUCAAUGAAAGAUACAUUUUACAAAACUGUUAAUUCAAUUCAGAAAAGCAGACCAAAGGCCCACUAUCUUUAGAGUUUCUUUGGUUGAAAUGCAACUUGAUCAACUGGGUGGAAGAUAUUUCUAAUUCUCUAAACUGGUCAGAACAAAGUAGAGGACAGUGGUCCCAGCCAGAGGAUCCUGAGGGUCUCCUAUGAUAAACUGUUAGACUUGCAAGGGCAUUUAGAGAUUAUUUAGCCCAAACCUAUAGCUUGGUAAAUGAGGAAAUUGAAGCCUAGAGAGUAAAUGACUUAGCUAACAUCAUUCAACUGGUCGGUAUAGGUGUUCACUCACUUGCCUUUCAAAUAGAGAUCUUUUUAACUCCCUCAUCAAAUUCUUUCAGGAAUUAUUGAUUUUCUUAGUUGGUUUCUUUUGAUUUUAUAUUUUAUCAUGGAGAUGAUAUUAAUUCCAGGAUAAAAUACUGAUAUAAGGAAUUUUCAAAAUUGUUGCUCAUUAUUUUCUAAUUUUCAUUUAGCCUCUUGCAACAUUGCAAACAAAGUUGAUAACAUUUUACCUUUAGAUUCACCUUUUCAAUUUACAAAACACUUAAUGUCUAAGACUUGCCAAUGAUAUAAGCUAUUUACUAUUUAACACAUUUAUAGAUAAGGUGUAGAGCAUUGGCAAGGUUAAAUGACUUUGCUAAGGUCACACAACCAGACAUUAGCGAAGCCAGACCUUGAACCCAGCAUUUUUUACUGUUUACACCAUGUUAGUUGUGAAUGUAUAACUAAGGCAAAGGGAUCACCUCAUAAAGUUCUUACUGAUGAGGGACUGAAUUGUUUAUUUGCUAUUUCACUGUAAGAAGCUUCGCUUAAUGGAUAAAAGCAUAAGAUUUAGACUCAAACCAGAAAUCCACCUCUACUUUAUAGUAGUAUGGGGACAUUGGUUAAGUGAUCUCUUUUAUUCACAAUCGUCUCAUCUGCUUAAUGGUGAUAAUAAUAAAUGUAGGUUUUUCUGGAACAAUUAAAUGGCUAAUGCAUUUGAGAAAAAGCAUGUAUUUCAUUGUUUGGCAUAAAAUAAACACUAUAUAUUUUUAGUAACUGUUACUAUGCUAUUAUUCUAAGCUAUACUAUCAGCAAGAUGUAAGUAAUGCUCCUAUUUCAUCAUAAAUAUAUAAAUACUUAUGUUUUUAUGUAUAGAUUGUUAUGCUUACAUAGGUUUCAGUGCACUUUGUUAGUAAUUAUUCUUCAUAUCUUUCAGAAUGCAAACUUCUUAAGGUCAAAGACAUGUGUUUUAUCUUUGAUAUAGAAUAUUUUCAAUGACAAGAUAUGUUCAUCUUUAUAUCCCCAAAACCUAUCAUGUUUUUGAAAGACAGUAAGUGUUAAUAAACAGUUAUUAGUGUUGAAAUAGAGUUUUGUAUUGACUUUGAAAAUAAUCCUUACUCUGGGUUGGUUGGCUGAUUGGCUUGUUUAUUUAUUUAGCUCAUGAGAUGAGAGGGGUAGACAUUUACUCUUCUAUCUAAAGGUCUUAGUUCCCUCUUGGCUGUCAUUUGGUGAGUAACUUGCUUUGCUGUUGUUUCUGUGGUGUUUAGAUAUCUAUAUGUAAAUCUUGUAACAUGGUCUUAGCUCCUUUCCUGGCAAGCUAAUUAUCUGAUGAGCAACCAAAGAAAUGAUCUAUUCUAGUGGAAGAGAAAAAAUUGACUGUGUUAAGCUUACCGAGAAAUAAUACUGUACAUACUAUUGCACUUUAUGAGACUUAAAGAAUUUGAAUACACAGUUUUUAUAUGCAUGCUAACCUUAGCUGCCUGGAAAGAUGCAGCAUAACUGCUUAAACUUAUUUUUUUUGUUGUUGUAUACUAACUUAUUUUAAAUGAGGAUGAGUAGAUAUAGACAUAUAUAUAUAUAUAUUUAUACACACACACACACACACACAAAUAUAUACACCUUCCCCCAAGUGCAUGUGCACGCGCGCACGCGCACACACACACACACACACGCAACUAGUUGACUGAGGAAGAUAAAACUUGGGCCUGAUUUACAGAUGUUUCUGCACAAUAUUCAGGCACCAUUCAAAAGUGGACAGCAACAGCAGUGCAGCCCCUUUCUGGACAUCCUUGAAAGACGGCAGUGAAGGAAAUUUCUCCCAGUGGGCAGAACUUCAAACACAGCACCUGGAGACACACUGGCAAAGGAAAUAACCAGAGGUAAGAGUCUAUACAGAUAUAUGAUCUGUGGCCAAUGGUUUGGAAACAAAAUGAUUAUAAAAUUGGUAACAAAGAGGUUUGGGAAAGAGGUAUGUGGAAAAACCUUUUUGAUGGCAAAGAGUGUAAAGAUAUCUGUGUCCCAUAUGAAUGCUAAUCAAAGGGUGACCUCAGCAUAGGAGGAUUUUGAUAAUCAAGUGGACAGGACGGUCUGUUCUCUGGAUACCAGUCAGCUUCUUUCCCCGGCCAGUACUGUCAUUACGGAAUGCGCUCAUGGGCAAAGUGGCCAUGGUGGCAGAGAUGGAGGUUAUGAAAGUGCUCAGUAACAUGGACUUCCACUCACCAAGACUGGACUGACUACAGCCACUGCUGAGUGCCCAGUCUGCUGGAAAACAAACCAAUACCGAGUCCCUGAUACAGCACCAUUCCCAGCAGUGAUCAGCCAGCAAUGUAGUGGUAUGACAGCAUUGGAUUGCGUUUAUCAUGGAAGAGGCAAUGCUUUGUUCUUACUGGAAUGGACACUUACUCUGGGUGUGGAUUUUCCUUCCCUGCAUACAGUGUUUCUGCCAAAACUACCAUCAGUGGACAUACAGAAUGCCUUUUUUGCCAUCACAGUAUUCCAUCUAGCAUUGCUUCUGAUUAAGAAAUUUACUUCAUGCAAAUAAAGUGCAGUAAUGGGUCCACGUUCAUGAAAUUCACUGAUCUUACCAUGUUCCUCAGCAUCCUGAAGUAGCUGCUUCAUAGAAUAUUGGAAUGGCCUUUUGGAAAUUCAGAGACAGCACCAACUACAUGGCGACACCUUCCAGGACUGAAGUACUUUCCUCCAGGAGGCUGUAUGUGCUGUAAAUCUGCAUCUAGUGUAUGGUGCUGCUUCUCCCAUAGCCAGGAUUCAUGGGUCCAGGAAUCAAGGGGUGAAAACGAGAAAAUCAAGGGAUGAAAAUGACUCCACUCACUCUUACUCCUGGGAAGCCACUAUCAGGAGUUUUGCUUGCCAUCCCCCUGAACUUUUGCAUUGUUGAUCUAGAAGUCUUAGUUCCAAAGUUAGGAGUGCUUCUACCAGAAGACAUCACAAUGAUUCCAUUGAUCUGGAAAUUGAAGCUAUUACCUGACCAUUGUAAGCUCCUCAUGUCUCUGAGUUCACAGGCAAAGAAGAGAGUUACUGUACUGGCUGGGAUUAUCAGUCCUAAUCAUCAAGGGGAAAUUAAACUGCUACUCCACAAUGGAGGUAACGGACACUAUGUUUAGAAUGCAGGAGGCCCUUAGGUUGGCAUCUCCUAGUACUCCCAUGUCCUGUGAUUAAAGCCAAUGGAAAACUAUAACAAACCUGAGAGUGGCCCAGACUCUUCAGAAAGGAAGGUUUGGAUCACUCCACCAGGCAAACAACCAUGACCAUCAGAGGUGCUGCUGAAGGAAAAGGGAAUACGGAGUGCCUAGUGGGAGAAGGCAGUUACAAAUAUCAGCUACAAGUGUGUGACCAAUUGCAGAAACAAUGACUGUAAAUGUUGCAAGUUCAGCUGUAUUGUGGAAAAAAGGAUUUAAGCAAAGAUUGAACCUGGUGAAAUGCGGAUAGCUGGUCCACUUGAGGACAUUCCAUUUCUUCGCUUCUCCAAUGGAGCAGGUUUCUGCACGCAGCUCACAUGCUUAUAUGUAUGGUGGCAUUGCCUACUCUCUACCCAGUUGUCCCAUCAACUCCCUACACUCUACACCACUGAAAUCUGUGCAAACAAGAUCAAGCUACUGAUCAUCUUCUGAACAAUGAAUUCUUUUCUGACAGGGAAGGAUUGUUCUGCAACUCAUGCGGAGCACCAAGGGUGCUGGAGACUCAGGUCCAUAGAACCCAGCUUUACCAUACGGAUGUGCAUCAUAACACUGUAUCAUGAUAAUGCAAGACUAAACACCUGACUUGAUGCCCAGGGCAAUGAUGCUGUGUUUAUCAAACAAUAAAACUAUUAUCUUAAAAAUCUGUUUAACUUGAAACCAUCCUAGAUGAUUCAAUACCUCAAGGCUUUCAAGAGAACAAACAUUGUGAACAACGGCUUGACUUUCUUACGAAGAGAAUUAAUUAAAUUGUAAACCAAUUUUUACGCACCCUGAUGAUUUUUUAUGUUGUUUCCUGAGCCGAGUAUCCUUGAGAAAUUCAACAGUGAUAAGUAAAAUUGCAUUGUAACUGCUCAGGAUUUGUUCAACAUUCAGUGUUUAUUGACCAGAAGCAGUUAAAGUGUUUGGGUAAGGAAUAUAGACUCAGAGCAGACUGCCCCAGCUCCAACCCAGCUUCUCCACUUAAUAGCUAUGAAGUUGAGCAAUUUAGUGAACCUCUCAGUGCUUCAGUUUUCUCUAUAAAAUGGGGAUAAUUUGAAUCUAUCUGCAGAUGCCACGUGGGUUAAAUAAGAGCAUAUGGGCUUAUAACAAUGCCUGAAACAUAGCAAGUGCUCUAUAGAUGGUAUCCAUUAAUGUAAGGCCUCCAUAGAACAGACAUUUGACUCAAUAUAGCAAUAUAUUAAAUAUAUUCAUAUAAAUUAAACAUGGUGACUAACUUCAACUAAUUUCCAUCACAGUGGGGACAACAAAACAUGUAUUUAAAACCCACACAUUAUUUAAGGACCAGAUUAAAUGCAUCAAAAUCUUCAUUAAUUCCAUGUUGUUCAAUGUAAUCUUUCCCACAGCAACUUAAAUGUACUUCUCUUUAACAUGUUCUACCAAGUUUUAUAAUUAAUUAUGUACAUGUCUAUUCUUUCCUACCAGAUUCUGAUAUGCUUGAGACAGAUUCACUUCAUCCUCUUUCUGCAUGCCUGGUUGAAUGACUGGCACAUAGUAAAUGCUCAAUAAAUGUUUGAUAAAUGAAUGAAUAACAAUAUAUAAGGCAUUAUAUGGUGACGAAAGCAUCACACAAAAGCAUCACAACUGAAGCACAAUUAAGUACCAUAAACAUUAGCCUUCAUCUACUGCCAUGACAGCUGAAGAGAUCCAGAGAGAUCCACUCCUGAUGUGCAUUCGUAGGGCGAGUUUUACAAAAAACAUGGCACAGGAGGAGGUUCUUAAAUGUUUAAACACAGCACUCAGUCUUAUAGAGGCUCUGCUUCUUUAAUCGGCCCUUUCUAAUCUUCUCUCCUCAUUGUGAAAUUCGGGAAAUAUGUUUCUUUACAUGCCUCCUCAAAUUUACAGAACUGGCCCAAGCAUUGAUUUUCUAGACAUAAUUCACUCCCAUUGCAGAUGUCCUAGGAAAUGGAGAGCUCUAUGACAGAAGUACACAUCAUGUGUCCAAAGUAACUUCAUAAUGGUUUCUGGGUUGUUAAAACAGGAAGAAACCAUUGCCUUUUAGAGGAAAGCUACAGUAAAUGUCACCAUAUGAAUAAACAUUGCAGUGACAUGCUUAAGCCUGGUUUUACUUGUUAUGAUUAUGUUGUCUGACUCUUACCACCAGAAGUGUUUCCCUCAUAUUUUCCUUCACAUUAACAUUUACGAUGGAGGGGCAGCAUUCCCCUUUGCUCACAUUGGCCAAAAUUAGUCCCUUUACACCCAGCAAUAUUUCAACAGUCACAGACCAGUGAGAGACCAGCAUAAACCCAGCUUGCUAUGGGCCUCAGCAUGUUCCACCAGCUUUACUCCAGCCAACAAAACUGCCAUUUGGAAUCCAUCUGCUGCAUUUCACGGACCUAAAUUCUGACCUAGUAGGUAGUCACUGAACUCGAACUGAGCAGAAAGGGCCAGAGGUUCUAAAGGGAAACAUUCUUCAGCGCCACUACAUGUGCCCUAAGACAUGAAACACCUAAGACAGCACCUUGAGGCAUAUUUUUCAGUGCAGAAGUAGCAGAAAACAGAACAUGACUCCCCACCCCUUCUUUAUAUUCCAAUGAGAUUUGCUAGUUUAACCAGAGCUGCAGUACAAAAGCACUUGUGGUUCAUGUUAUAUUAAUAGUGUGGCCUGAUUAUCAAAAACCAUUACUCUUGGUUAUCUUGCAGCGGCUGUACAGAGCUGCUAUAAGUCAGAGUGACUGCCCACACAGUGUUUGCUCCAUGCUUAUGAUAACAGUAUUCUUAAUGCAAAAGUGCAUUUGUAAAAUUAUUGCCUUUUAAAGAUCAGAUCUGUUAUAAAUGAGAUAUGAUCACACAA